rnacentral:rRNA from 1 species
CCCUUAGAUGCUCUGGGCCGCACGCGCGCUACACUGGUCGAUGCAACGAGUUUCUUUCCUUGGCCGACAGGCUCGGGCAAUCUUUGAACGCUGGUCGUGAUGGGGAUAGACUUUUGCAAUUUUUGGUCUUCAACGAGGAAUUCCUAGUAAACGCAAGUCAUCAACUUGCAUUGAUUACGUCCCUGCCCUUUGUACACACCGCCCGUCGCACCUACCGAUUGAAUGGUCCGGUGAAGCCUCCGGAUUGGCGCGCACCUCGGUGCCGCCGAGAAGUUGGCUAAACCUUACCAUUUAGAGGAAGGUGAANUCGUANCA